CGGCAGGCCCUGUACGAUUGGGUACUGCGAACCAUGUCAGGCGGGGAACCGAGCAGCAUUAAGCAGCUUCCCCGAUGCGAUACAGCAAGUCUGACGCUC
rnacentral:SRP_RNA from 1 species